CCAUAAAUAUCAAAUAUUACACAUGGAGCUAUCUAGACCUUGUUUGUUCUUUUAUCUGUUGGCCAUUUUGCUGUCACUGAGCAUCUCUUUGACCACAAACUCAGACCCCACCAAUGCAGAAACACUUCAGUGGAAGGGUGGAGAUGGUGUGAAAAGGUCACGAGUGAGAAGGCAGAACUUACACCUAAAACAUGCAUUACAUUUACCAGAAAAGGCUUAUACUUUCUAUAUGUUAUGGAGAAUUCUGAACGAAAUUUACAAUGAUACAGACACCAUCAAACCAUUAAUGACGAGGCCAGACAAACUGGAAUUUACAACACCAGAAGGGCCAAAGAACAUGGAGAUCGAGGUGAAACCAUCUUCACCUCGCAUACAGGAACAAAGCACUCAUUCCACUGGUAUGACUGGUACAAAUAACCCCACAGCUAUGCCAUCCUUCCCUACUCACUCAUUACCAGACUCACAGAAAACAACUCGAUUAGAAGAUUUACAACUAGUUGGACAAUCAACUCAGCGACUCCAGACCACAUUACAGCAAAUUACAGAAUUCAAUCAAGCUAUAGAGCAACAUAUCCCUGAUUCCACCACAUUUAAAAUUCCCACCACUGCAUCAGAAGAACCUUCUACAAUUGCCAUACAUGAACAAAUCGACCACUUCUCUGGCAUUAAUAGUAUAAAUAACUCUACAGCUAUAGCAUCCUUCCCCACUCACUCAUCAUUACCAGACUCACAGGAAACAACUCAAUCAGGAGAUUCACAACUAGCUGAAGAAUCAACUCAACGACUCCAGACCACAGUACAGAAAAUUACAGAACCCAGUGAAGUUACAGAGCAACACAUCCCUGAUUCCACAACAUUCACUAUCAAAAACUUCUCCAAAGCAUCAGAAGAACCUUCUUCAAUUGCCAUACACGAACAAAUCGACCACUUCUCUGGCAUUAAUAGUAUAAAUAACUCCACUGCUAAGUCUUCGUUCACCACUCACUCAUCAUUACCAGACGCACAGAAAACAUCAGAAUCAGCAGAUUCACAACUAGCUGAAGAAUCAACUCAACGACUCCAGACCACAAUACAGAAAAUUCCUUCCAUACAUGAACAAACCAACCACUUCACUGGUAGUAAUGGUACAAAAAACUCUACUGCUAUGGUGUCUCUCCCCACUCAAUCAUCAUUUCCAGACUCACAGGAAACAACUCAAUCAAGAGAUUCACAACCAGUUGAAGAAUCAACUCAACGACUCCAGACCACAAUACAGAAAAUUAUAGAACCCAACCAAGUGACAGAGCAACACAUCCCUGAUUCCACAACAUUCACUAUCAAAAACUUCUCCAAAGCAGCAGAAGAACCUUCUUCAAUUACCAUAAAUGAACAAAUCGACCACUUCACUAAUGGCAUAAAUAACUCUACAGCUAUGGCUUCCUUCCCCACUCACUCAUCAUUACCAGAUUCACAGGAAACAACUCAAUCAAGAGAUUCACAACUAGCUGAAGAAUCAGCUCAACACUUCCAGACCACAAUACAGAAAAUUACAGAACCCAGCCAAGUUACAGAGCAACACAUCCCUGAUUCCACAACAUUCACUAUCAAAAACUUCUCCAAAGCAGCAGAAGAACCGUCUUCAAUUCCCAUAAAUGAACAAAUCGACCACCUCACUGCUAAUGGCAUAAAUAAAUCUACAGCUAUGGCGUCCUUCCCCACUCACUCAGCAUUACCAGAUGCACAGGAAACAACUCAAUCAAGAGAUUCACAACUAGUUGAAGAAUCAACUCAACGACUCCAGACCACAGUACAGAAAAUUCCUUCCAUUCAUGAACAAACCGACCACUUCACGGGUAGUAAUGGUAGAAAAAACUCUACAGCUAUGUUGUCUCUCCCCACUCAAUCAUCAUUACCAGACUCACAGGAAACAACUCAAUCAAGAGAUUCACAACCAGUUGAAGAAUCAACUCAACGACUCCAGACCACAAUACAGAAAAUUAUAGAACCCAGCCAAGUUACAGAGCAACACAUCCCUGAUUCCACAACAUUCACUAUCAAAAACUCCUCCAAAGCAGCAGAAGAACAUUCUUCAAUUACCUUACAUGAACAAAUCGACCACUUCACUGGUAGUAAUGGUACAAAUAACUCUACAGCUAUGGUGGCUCUCCCCACUCAAUCAUCAUUUCCAGACUCACAGGAAACAACUCAAUCAAGAGAUUCACAACCAGUUGAAGAAUCAACUCAACGACUCCAGACCACAAUACAGAAAAUUAUAGAACCCAGCCAAGUUACAGAGCAACACAUCCCUGAUUCCACAACAUUCACUAUCAAAAACUUCUCCAAAGCAGCAGAAGAACCUUCUUCAAUUGCCAUAAAUGAACAAAUCAACAACUUCACUGCUAAUGGCAUAAAUAACUCUACAGCUAUGGCUUCCUUCCCCAAUCACUCAUCAUUACCAGAUGCACAGGAAACAACUCAAUCAGGAGAUUCACAACUAGCUGAAGAAUCAUCUCAACGACUCCAGACCACAAUACAGAAUAUUCCUUCCAUACAUGAACAAAUCGACCACUUCACUGGUAGUAAUGGUACAAAAAACUCUACUGCUAUGGUGUCUCUCCCCACUCAAUCAUCAUUUCCAGACUCACAGGAAACAACUCAAUCAAGAGAUUCACAACUUGCUGAACAAUCAGCUCAACACUUCCAGACCACAAUACAGAAAAUUAUAGAACCCAGCCAAGUGACAGAGCAACACAUCCCUGAUUCCACAACAUUCACUAUCAAAAACUCCUUAAAAGCAGCAGAAGAACCUUCUUCAAUUACCAUACAUGAACAAAUCGACAACUUCACUGCUAAUGGCAUAAAUAAAUCUACAGCUAUGGCUUCCUUCCCCACUCACUCAUCAUUACCAGACGCAAAGGAAACAACUCAAUCAGGAGAUUCACAACUAGCUGAAGAAUCAACUCAACGCUUCCACAGAACUAAACAGAAAAUUCCAGAACCCAUCAUUCGCUCUAUUGGAACAAAUGGUACAAAUUAUUCUACACCUAUAAUGUCUUUUCUCACUGAUCGGCCACCACAAGAGUCACAAAAAAACACCCAGUCAGGUGCACCACAAUUACUUGAACAUUCAACUCAACAUUUCCAGAGCCCCAAGCACAAAAUGACAGAAUCCAGUCAGACAAUUGGACACCUCAUUGCAAUCACGUCCACCCCAAAUCUGGCCACAACAUACAGAAUUCAACAGGAAACUCUACUACAGUCUGCCAUAGACCCACACAUUCCAAAUAAUGACAUACUUGCAUCAACAAUGGAAAACAACAACCUGCAACCAACUCCACUUCCACAAAUAACAAAGGAUGAAUAUCCCAAAAUGACGCCGUUCAUCAAUAGGUUGGUGCAAAGCAUUUCAAAAUUCACUCCACCUGCAAGGACUAAACAAACAACUUUAUUAACAGUCAAUCCUGAAAUCAUAAAAAAUCCUCCACACACUCUUUCUGUAACCUGGCAAAAUGGGAAACCCAACUGGCUUGUGACAGCCACAGCUUGGAGAGUUUCAAAACGUACGCCACCUACAUUCACAUUGAAGCAGCAAAUCAAACACUCCACUUCACUUCUGCUGACUCCAAAAACUAUAAAGAAAAAUACUCAAAAACCAGCAAAUGAUUCAUUAGUAAGCAGAAAAAUGGCUUCCACUUCACCUCUUCCAAUCCUGAUAGAGAAUCAUUUCGUUGACUCAGAAGGACCAGAGGACACUUCUGUGUCAACAGGCAUUAGUCUACAGGAUUCCACAUCAUUCAGAACCUAUCCGAGUAAUGCAAAAACACAAUCACAGAGUACAACAAACAAAUACACAAUCUUUCACAAAAUGAUGUCCCAUACAAGUUUUCCGUUAGUAAAGGACACAUCAACUCAAGCUCCCACAGAUGGAGUGCAAUUGUCUCAAACUAUUCCAGUCUCCACAGAAAAGCUUGUUAUGAUGUUCACUCUAAAUCCAAGACCUUCAGAAAAACAUAUUCAUACCACAUCAAUCGUGAGAAAUGGAUUACUAAAAUCAAGAACACAGGAAAUUCCAUCUUUGAUUUCAACAAUACGGUCCAAUAUCCAUCCCACUGAAACAACAGAGUUUCGUUUGGACCCGACAAAUCAACGACCUACAGCAGAUUCAAUGCCAAAGGAAAAUUAUUCCAAUAAUGAUCUGUUAACCGAGAUGGAAAAACCAACGCAAAGCAUGAGUGGGCGCAAACCAAGUUCGACAACUCGUUCAGCUACAACUAGAUUGCACGUGUCAAAAACACAAACUGUUUCACAAAAACCCAAUGACACGAAAGCCCCCAGAGAGAUUUUUGGAUUACUCUUCAGUUUUGGGUGCCUUGUGUUGCUGAUAAUAGUAAUCUUGCUUUGGGUAGUCUGGAAAAAAUGGCAAGCCCGGCACUGGAGGAACAACAUGUGGGUAGCAGGUUCUCCUCUCCCGGGAACAUAUCAUUCAGUCUUGCAGAACAGCAGUUCAUACACUGCAAUACAGAUGAGGAAUAAGUACAGCCAAAAGAAAAAGCAGGAAAAUAGUGAUGUUUCUGAGACCAUUGCUCUCAAGCAACAACACAAAGACCUUGUAUAUACAUGA
ensembl:lncRNA